rfam:Gossypium raimondii Chr10_contig_213, whole genome shotgun sequence.
AGCAAAUUUCAUCUAUUUCUAUAGUUAAAAGUUGGCAUUGCUGGCAAAAUAUGUGGCGUGCCACGUAUAUCUCAUUCUGACAUACAAUGACCAAUUUUUAAUAAUAAAAAUAGAUAGAAUUUUUAACA